GUCCGCUUUCCUUGCUGAUGGAGAGGAAUAGUGUCACUCCCAUUUGACUCGGUAACCCGGCAGCUUCCUGUCUUAAACGCAGAGCUGGCGCGCAGGACACUCCUCCUGCAGACACUUAUUACACAAGUUCAUCUGCACCUCGUGCAAAGCAGCCCUGAAAGCUCAGGCUUGAAGACAAAAUGUGGAGCCCAGGCUCCUUCGAUUGAAAACCUCUCUACGAGGACACUCUCCGCAGUGGGCGGCCAGAAAGGAUUUCGGAUCAAGAUCCGCAGAGUGGUGAGCAUCUCCCAGGGUCCGGGGCUGAACUGACUGCAGGCUGGUAGCCCUUCGGCCCGGAGGAGAAUCUCCUUUCUGCAGAAACUACCCCUGGAAAACAAAACCGAGCGAAAAGAAGGGCAAUGCGGGUCUGCGCGGAAGGGAGCUCCCUUCCCGGGGAAGGAGGCGCCUCGCGGUGGCACACUCGCCGGCGGGAUGUAGGUAGGGGCAGACUAGGGUGAGAAGGGGGACUUGCGGAACACGGGUCUCCCGCGGGUCCGAGGGACAGGGUGCAGGCGCAUUCCAGGCACCUAGGGCAGUCCAGUCUGCUCUGCGGAGCGGGAGCCGGCCCCAGGCUCUCCACAUCUCCCAGGAAUCCAGAAGCUCGACUGCGGGACAGUUGUGUCGAUGGGGACCCCCCCAGCUGGAUUUUCAUUCCACUUGCUCCCUUGAUCGAGUGCUCACGCCCGGCAGGAGCUGGCUGUGCGCCGCCCCGGGUGGGUGGAGGUGCGUGGGGCUCGGGCCUUGGCUCGCUUGGGUGUGUCCCAGUCUUUUUCCUCCAGAAUUAAAGGCCUCUGCAGGGCGCAGAGCCCCUCUCCCCCUCUCCUAACUCUCCUCCCCACCUCGCCGCGGCCUAAGCUAAGAUGAGGUGAGCUUCCAGGGCUGUGUCCCUAGGAGGCCCCGAGCACUUUUCCUCCGAGGGUCGAAGAAAUCAGGUCCCCUCUCUUUCCCCAGCGCCCUCUGAGGAAGCCGCGAACCUCUGAGCGAGCGUGGUUUUACUGGGGAUUCCUAGCGACCUGCCCUGUGCCCAGCGACGCCCCAAGGGGAGAGGAGCUCUGUGGAGGGGCGGUGUGGGGGUGGGUGUCUACACUACAUCCUCUGGCUCGGAGCAGGACCCGGUGAUGCGCCCUGGCCGAGCUCCUGUCUCCUAGGAAUGCGGGUGCCUCGGGCCCUGUCGGGACCCUUGGUUCGACCGGAGGGCCCGGGAGUGGGAGCCUGGAUCCAACAGGCACCCGGAUCCAGGAGUCAGACUCCUUGGUUCCGAACGUUUCUUCCGGAGCGAAAGCUUGCUCCCCCUUCCCCCAAGUCCCUCGCGGGCUGGGAGGUGAAGGGAGCGACAGAAGCCGGGCCUCCUCCGCAGCGCCCAACGCCCCGGGCUCUCCGGGUCCCGGGACGUGGCUCGGGUGCGUGGAGGGACGGCUGGGGGCGCAGAUUUGUGAAUGAACCUCGGAGCUCUUUGCAGCUCACAGAUCAGAGGCUGCGAUCGCCCCACCGACGUGGUCCAAUGAGCCGCCGCAAUAAGCUCUGAGCGACGAAACGGAGGCACGGCCUGGACUCUGCGGCACCGCGCUGCGCAGGGCCGGACGGGGGAGGGGCUGAGCCACUGCAGCAACUUCAAAGCCUGUGUCGGGGCUCAGCAAUGGGUGGGCUCUCCCCGGGCCGCACGGUUCUCAAGGGCCUCCCCCGACCCCCACCGCCACCCCGUCGGAACGCCCAGAGGCGUUCCCAGCCCAAGUGAUGGAGACUCUGACUCCCAGUUGUCUCCGCGCCCUCCGCUUGCGCGUCCUUGGCGUCUCCCCCGGGACCCGGGGGGCGAUCACAUUCUGAGACCUAAUCCGGUUACUUCCGGGCGUGGG
rnacentral:lncRNA from 1 species